rnacentral:rRNA from 1 species
GAUGAACGCUGGCGGCGUGCUUAACACAUGCAAGUCGAACGGAAAGGCCCAAGCUUGCUUGGGUACUCGAGUGGCGAACGGGUGAGUAACACGUGGGUGAUCUGCCCUGCACUUCGGGAUAAGCCUGGGAAACUGGGUCUAAUACCGGAGAGGACGAUGGGUUGGAUGCCAUUGUGGAAAGUUUUUUCGGUGUGGGAUGAGCUCGCGGCCUAUCAGCUUGGUGGGGGGGUAAUGGCCUACCAAGGCGUCGACGGGUAGCCGGCCUGAGAGGGUGUACGGCGACACUGGGACUGAGAUACGGCCCAGACGCGUACGGGAGGCAGCAGUGGGGAAUAUUGAACAAUGGGCGCAAGCCUGAUGAAGAGACGCCGCGUGGGGGAUGACGGCCUUAGGGUUGUAAACUCAUUUCGCUAGGGACGAAGCGUUUUGUGACGGUACCUGGAGAAGAAGCACCGGCUAACUACGUG